rnacentral:lncRNA from 1 species
GGAGAAUCACCAGGAAGUUGAAUAAAUCUCAUAGGAGUUGGGAUGAAGAAGUUAUCGCACUUUCUAAUCAGGUGAUUCCAGUUUCCCAGUUUGGGAAUAGGACAGCAUCUUCGUCGUUCCAAUCAAACCAGGAUGAAUCAUUUGUGAGAAGCUUGAUUUGGAUACAUAAAGUGGUGGAGAAUCACCAGGAAGUUGAAUAAAUCUCAUAGGAGUUGGGAUGAAGAAGUUAUCGCACUUUCUAAUCAGGUGAUUCCAGUUUCCCAGUUUGGGAAUAGGAAAGCAUCUUCGUCGUUCCAAUCAAACCAGGAUGAAUCACUUUG